rnacentral:rRNA from 1 species
GAUGAACGCUGGCGGCGUGCCUAAUACAUGCAAGUCGAGCGAACAGACGAGGAGCUUGCUCCUCUGACGUUAGCGGCGGACGGGUGAGUAACACGUGGAUAACCUACCUAUAAGACUGGGAUAACUUCGGGAAACCGGAGCUAAUACCGGAUAAUAUAUUGAACCGCAUGGUUCAAUAGUGAAAGACGGUUUUGCUGUCACUUAUAGAUGGAUCCGCGCCGCAUUAGCUAGUUGGUAAGGUAACGGCUUACCAAGGCAGCGAUGCGUAGCCGACCUGAGAGGGUGAUCGGCCACACUGGAACUGAGACACGGUCCAGACUCCUACGGGAGGCAGCAGUAGGGAAUCUUCCGCAAUGGGCGAAAGCUUGACGGGGCAACGCCGCGUGAGUGAUGAAGGUCUUCGGAUCGUAAAACUCUGUUAUUAGGGAAGAACAAAUGUGUAAGUAACUAUGCACGUCUUGACGGUACCUAAUCAGAAAGCCACGGCUAACUACGUG